CUUCCAAAUAUUUGUUUAAUUCCCUUAGCUAGGUUUUUCCAAGCAACGUUAAAGAUAUGCAUAAUACCCAUUCAUGUCUCUGCAAUAUCCUUGUCCCCAGCAGGCACAACGCUGUAAUAGCUCUAGGUGAGAAGAACUGUCAAACUGUUUCAGACACCCUUAGUAGGCUAAAGAUCCAAGUCUGUGUCCUGUUAGAGCUUUCGUAAUAGAGAAAGGUUUUUAGUCCUGCUGCUAGCAGAGCGAUUCCCAAAGAACUUGCUUUGCCCUGCGAUAUUGAUUGAAGGGCUCUUAGUUCACUUACUGGAAUAAAAGCAAUGGGCUGUGCCUCUUCUUCAAGACUGUCCUCUCCAGCUGUUUUAAAGAGCGUGC